UGGGUAAGUCAGAGGUAUGUAAUCUAGAAUAUUGUCACCUGAGGUCCAAGAUACCCAAGGAAGGUUAAAAUCCCCUAAACAAAUUAAUGCAGAAUUAUCUGUAAGCAACGAAGACACCUCUGCAAAUAAAUCUGCAUGGUUAAGAAAAAUUUCAAGUUCAGAAUUAGGUGAAAUAUAUGAACAAGUUAAGAAAAUAGUAUUACCAAUGAUAUUUAAUUUUACGCAGAUAAAUUCGAUAUUAGGAUCCGCUGAGACAUCAAUCAUUUCAGAAGGAAUCGAGAUAUGAACUGCUAUUAGAAAUCCACUAGCUUUUUUCGAUAAUCUAUCUUUUCUGUAGACUUGGUAAUUACCAGAGAAUAACUCAGUGUCCAGGACAUCAGGUUUUAACCACGUUUCAGUGAAAUCAAUUAUUUUAUAUUCACAAAAGAAACUUUUAAGGAAAACAUCUCUAAGCUUAGUGUUUAAUCCUCUUACAUUUUGACAAAGAAUCGGACAGACGUCAUUUAGUUUUUUUGGCGCAUUCACGAUGUUUACAGACUUAUCUACAUUGGAGCGUUCUCUACAAACAAAUUCUUUUACCAAUAUAUCAUUGAGCCAAAACGAAUUACUAACAAAAGUGUUAAACAGACUAUUAGGAACUGUUAUUUUAAACGACGAAAUGUCGCGCACCUGAAACAAGUUAAAUUUAAAGAUGUUUAAAUCAUGUUUAAAUUAACGAUAGAAGUUUCAGGAUGAAGUCUGGAUAUAAAAACUGUUUGCGACGUGCGAAGACUGCACCACAAUUGCAGGUGGGUUAGAAAAUGCUCUUUUGGAAGUCGUUCAGAGAUUGAGGUUGUAGCGUUGGAAGUAACAUCCCAGUCUUUACGAUUAUCAUGAGAAAAUAGUUUAUUACUAUUAGGAGGAGAAUUUGGCGAAAUCGGAUAAUUUAAGCUGAUUAAAUUUUCGAGACCUAAAUUGUUUGUUUCGAUAUUGUUAACAACAGCUGAAGCUUUUUUCCUCUUUGGAGAACCAUCAGAUAAUUCAAACCUGUUAAAAAAUUUUUCAAUUUUUUUAAAAGUUAAAUUAAAACUUUUAUUUAACUUAUCGAUUUCAGCCUUAGUUUCUUUAAAAAGGCAAUGAUAAUCAACUUGAAGAUCUCUACAAUCAAAACAAGACCAACGUAGACCUUUAGUCUUGUCAGUAAUAAAAUCAUACUGUCUACCAUUAAAACCAGAACAUUUAAGAUGCAUAAAAUUAUCGCAAAUAAAACAAGAAAUAAGACGCUCAUUGAUGUUUCUAACUGAAAAGUCUUUGAAAGAGCAAACCAUAUUUGUAAAAUAACAAAUUAGAUAAAAAUACCAGUUAAUAAUUUUUUAUAUAAAAUAAAAAGGUAAACUCUGUAAUGUGAACACGGUAUAAUAAUCAAUAUAUUAUUAGUGCCUAAAAGUAUGCUAAAAAUCUAUUAUUACAUACAGAACUGCUAAAGGGGAAUCAGCUACAAACGUCAAAACAAACAAAAACACGAUGAAAAUAAAACAAAAAUUUAAGCACAAAAUAAAACAAAACACUGAUGUUUUACGCGGAAAAUAUUUAAUAAACUUAUUAAGCAAGAAGAAACACUUUAUUCACAAAAACUUCACACUUUUGGAAAAAAAUAAAUAGUGUUAAUUUAAAUAUCACAAUUUAACACUUUUAUUGACGCUUUAAACAAACAAAAAUUAAUUUUAAUUUCGUUAGACGAACACACAGAAAAUAAACACUUUCAAUCGAGCAGAGUUGCCAGAAAUGUGUCUACAAUCCUAUCAAUCAGACUCACAUCCUCUGCCCCACAGUGCUGAUUAUGUCGCUUUACCGAUCGUUCAUUUUUGCAUCUGCGCAGUUUGUAAAGUGAGUGCUGGCUAACAUAGUGCGAGUCAGUCCAGCUUCCAUCGUUUCGUUUUAUACAAUAAAAUCUUCCUACAACACCAGCCGAAUGGGAGAGGAUCGCAGAAGAAUUUUCCCAUAAAUGGAAUUUUCCACAUUGCAUAGGAGCAAUUGAUGGAAAACACGUCGUCAUUAAAAAAACCCCAAAGUCUGGUUCAGCUUUUUAUAAUUAUAAGAAAUUCUUCAGCAUCGUUUUGUUGGGUGUCGUCAAUGCCAACUACGAGUUCAUAAUGGUAGACGUUGGAACAAAUGGUCGAUAUUCUGACGGAGGUGUUUUCAGCAACAGCAGUUUUGGUGAAGCGUUUGUGAGCAAGAACCUUAAAUUGCCAGAACCAAAACCUGUUCCUAUGAGUGAAAAGGUGCUACCCUAUGUGUUCAUUGCAGAUGACGCAUUCUCGCUGACAGAGAAUAUGAUGAAACCAUUUUCCCAAAUUGGCUUAAGCUCGGAGAAAAGAAUUUUUAAUUACCGUUUAAGCAGAGCUCGUAGAGUUGUGGAAAAUGUGUUUGGGAUUCUGGUUUCUCGAUUUGGAGUUCUGCAACGAGCGAUUCAACUGUCACCAGAAAAGACGGAAACAGUAGUGUUGGCCUGCUGUUAUUUACAUAAAUUUUUGCGAAGGCAAUGCGGGGAUAAGUACAUUUCUGGGUUACUGGAAACAGAGAACACAGAAACGGGGAGUAUAAAUCACGGUUCAUGGAGAACCAGAGAAACAUUUUCUUCAUCACUGCCAAAUUCACAUUCCCGAAAUGCAAGCAACAAUGCUAAAACAAUUAGGGAAGAAUUCCGCGACUAUUUCAAUCACGAGAAUAUUGUACCUUGGCAAAAUAAGUUUGUAAAUUAAUAGAUUUUAUGUUCCACAUUUUUUUAAAAAUAAAUAUAACACCCAAAAAUUCCAAUUUAAUUACUUUUUAUUUUUUUUUUUUCUGAAUAAACACAUAAAACACAUAAAUUCAAAUUG